UACAGAGGUCCCAAGCGUUGUUCGGAUUCACUGGGCGUAGAGGGUGCGUAGGUGGUCGGGUAAGUCUGAUGUGAAAUCUCCGAGCUUAACUCGGAAAUGGCAUUGGAUACUAUUCGGCUAGAGGGUUUGAGGGGGGACUGGAAUACUUGGUGUAGCAGUGAAAUGCGUAGAUAUCAAGUGGAACACCAGUGGCGAAGGCGAGUCCCUGGAAAACUCCUGACACUGAGGCACGAAAGCUAGGGGAGCAAACAGG
rnacentral:rRNA from 1 species